AAUAAAAAACUUUAAAAUAUGUAAAAACGGCUUAAAUGAUUACAAAUUUUAUCUUAAUAUGUUUUUUCUUCUCCCCUUCUCUUAGAUCCACCAGUUAUAAUAAGGUCAAGGUCAUUUGCCGACUAUGGCUGAGGUCGGGGAAAAUUCGUCGAACGGGACAACGGAAGAAAAUGUGUCGCAAGCGAUGAGAUAUGAGUUUAUGAAAUUUGAUGAUGAUGCAGAAGAUGGAUAUGAAGAUACUUCACAUUCUACUCCAGUUUUUAUUGAGGUGGAUGAUUCUGACGACUCACAGCCGCAGUUCCAAGAUCGAGGAGGCGAAGAACAUGAAGGGUAUAUACAUCAUACGAUCUCAGACAAUCAGAUAAUGAUGCACAUCCACCCUGGCAGUAACAGGAUGCCUUCAAACCCUUCACACGCCACGCUGACUGUGGAGAGCCGCAACCCAGAGACUAAAGCCACUGAGGUGAAGAGGUACUGUUGUUCAUUUGAAAAUUGUGACAGAACUUACAGCACAGCUGGCAACCUGAAGACACAUCAGAAAACACACAAAGGAGAGUAUACUUUUGUCUGCAACCAAGAGAACUGUGGCAAGUCUUUUCUGACAUCUUAUAGCUUGAAAAUACAUGUGCGUGUGCACACCAAAGAAAAACCUUACGAAUGCAGUAUAAGUAACUGUGAGAAGGCUUUCAAUACUUUAUACAGACUUAAAGCACACCAGCGUCUACAUACUGGAAAUACCUUUAACUGUGAAGCCUCAGACUGCAGCAAAGCUUUUACAACCCUCAGUGAUCUGAGAAAACACUUAAGAACACACACAGGAGAAAAACCAUACAAAUGUGAAGAAGGGGGCUGUGGCAAAGCUUUUGCAGCUAGUCAUCAUUUAAAGACACACAUAAGAACUCAUACAGGUGAGAAACCAUACCACUGUCCCACUGAUGGCUGCAGUAAGGCAUUCACUACUCAGUAUGGCCUGAAGACCCAUGUAGGGCGACAUGAGCAGUCAGCAGGGAGUGAAUCUGACAGCAGCAAUCAAAUGAUGCCAGAACAAGAGAAGUUUCAGCAGCAAUUAAAACAAUCACAGCAACAGCAGCAGAGUCCUGGUCAAGGAGCUUCCUCUGCAGCAAGUGCAGACAUGCAAACUCCAUGUAUAUCUAGUCAGAACUUAGCUGGUAUGUCUGCAGAACAACUGCUGACAUCUAUGUAUUUGGGGCAGCAGCCAGUAGCAGUGAAUCUGCCAGGAAUUGGUCCUGUGGUGGUGGCUGCCUGCAGUGUGGAUGCUCUUCAAGCUGCCAAUGUAACAACUCACCCCCAGCCAGUAGAGUCAGUGGAUGAGAACCCCAGUGCAGGAACACAGCCUCAACAGUUGGCUGUUAACAACUCUGAUCUGAGCACACUUGCAGCUGAGGCAGCAGAGAUCUUCUCACAGGUGCCAGAGAACAUUGAGCCCUCGGUGCAUGUCUCUGACGGCCAAGAGGUGGCCCAGGUACAGGACAAGGAUAGGAACAGUGAGGACAGCAUUGAGGAUGCUCUAAACUUAUUCAGUCAGUUUCUUGUCCAGAACUCUGGUGGGACAGGUCCUGGUGUACCAGCCUGUGUCCCAUGUACAGAAAACCCCACCAUGGACACGCCCCCAAUCCCUAUGACGGACAGCCAAGGUCAGCUGAUACCGCAGUGCUUGAGGCACCAUCAAGGUCAAGGCCAGAUGGCAAUGCAGGGGAAUGGACAGAUGAUGGGACAAGGGGCCUGGCUUUGCCACGGGACAGAACAUGGUGACACAGACACAGCCUAUGAUGCAAGGUCAGGUGAUAGGCCAGCCUAUGAUGCAGGGUCAAGGUCAAAGUCAGGUCAUAGGUCAACCUAUGAUGCAAGGUCAAGGUGAAGGACAGGUCAUGGGUCAACCAGUAAUGCCCAGUUUUGAUAGUAUGAACUUUCCUUAUGACAAUUCUUCAGUCAACUUUGCACAAGACUCUAGCUCAGUGAUCUUGGUAGUGAAAGAAGAAGAACAAAAUAUGCAACCUCGCCUGCAAGGCAACUUCAUCUCAUAACAUCGGUGAGCACAGUUAUUUAUGCAGUGCGACUCCACCUUCUGCUACUGUGUAGCAGAUCCACAUGAGAGGAGGCUGCUUAUAAUUGUGCUGUAAGUCUAGUUUAGUGCAGUUUACCAUGUUCUGUGAAUGCUGCUAGGUUUAUUAUGUUAUAUUUUAUAUAGUUUGUAUCUACAUCUGUAAGAUAACACAUUACUUAAUAAGUUCUCACUUGGUCACAUACAGAUUGUCAUGCAAUUGUUUGCCUACAGAGUGAAUGUAGAAUUAUUUAGUAUAUGACAGUUUUUUCCUUUAGCUAUAAUAAAAGGAGUUUACCUGAAAGAUAUUGUAUGAUUUUUUUCUUGUGAAGGGCUGAGUUGCAUACCUUGAAAUUGAUGGUUGAAUUGGUAGCUCUUUUUGUUAAAGUAAGCAUGUGAGUAAAUUUUAAGAUUUUUGUUUCGUGAACAGUGCAUGCAAAAGGGUUAUAUGAUAUGUGACCAUCUUUCACAUUCAUGUAAAUAUACCAGCUUAUGUAUCGAUAAUGCAGUGCUUGCAAACAAUCAUAUAUGUAACCCUUUUUAAUAGUUAAUGGUAAGUUUUAACUUGAAGUGCUGCUUACUUGCUGGGAUUCUCAGCAAGAAGGUGUCUGUUGAUUGUCUGUUCAUUGUCAGUUCUUUGUAGACCACAUUUCUGCUAAAUAGGCAGGGCAUAUACCACAUUGCAAUGAACACCCUUGCACUUAGAAAGAUUAGAUUAAUUGUUUUAUUUGAGUGAGUAUAAAUUUUUGUAAAGAUAUUACAUAAUAUAGAUUGUCUGACUCAUUCUGUAUGAAUUUGUGAUAUUCAGUGAAGCUGGUAGAUGGAUGAUGUGCUGCCACCUGCUAGUAGGUGUGUGAGGUGCUGCCACCUGCUGGUAGGUCUGCGACAUGCUGACACCUGCUGGUAGGUGUGCGACAUGCUGACACCUGCUGGUAGGUGUGUGAUGUGCUGACACCUGCUGGUAGGUGUGUGGCGUGCUGACACCUGCUGGUAGGUGUGAGAGGUGCUGACACCUGCUGGUAGGUGUGUGAGGUGCUUGUAACCUGUCUUUUCCAAAUUAUUCCUUUAGUGACGAUUUUCAUCCAUGUUUUUUUUUUUCUGACAGCUUGUUGGGUUAAAAAAUGUAAUUUUGUUUUUGUUGAAGAUAUUGAUUAUUGAUAUGUUAAUUAUCAAUAGAUUAGUUUUUUCAUGUAAAUGUAGAAAGUAAAAAAAUUGCAGUGAUACUAAUUUAAGAUAGUAGUCAAACUCAAAUUAGUAAGGGUAAUUUGUUGCCAAAAUGCAGGUCAAGUUUGAAAACUAGAAUAUUCAAAUUUAAUAAAUUAUAAUAUAUAAUGAAUUUUAAUAUGUCAAUUUUCAGUGCCUUUCUUCUUGUUUUUUGGUAUUUGUGUAACAUGUGCCCUACAGCAGUUAAACUACACACUAGAUAUGUGGUAGGAUAUUCUUCAUGGCAGAAAGGUAGGACAUACUCCUAAAAGGAGUAUAGCUGAUGUAAACAUAAAUAUGAAAAAAUAAUUCUUGGGGCAAAAUUUCAUAACCUUCUCUCACAAACUAAAGCUAACUAUUUAUUAUGCUUUGAAUCAAGCAAACAAUCAUUUGCUGUUGAAUAAAAUGUAUUGACUGCUGUUUCACAAGCCUCAUUUGUUGCAGAAAGGCAAUUUCUAGUGCUGGGGUGCAAAUUACUGAAAUUUUCAAAUAGGUUUUUGUUUUGUCAAUGUUACCCACACUCAUAGUCAAACUUACUGAGCAAAUUUUGUUUUUGGUUUUUUUAUGUAUAAGUGAUACAGUCUAGUUGUUAUUGUUAUUUAUAGAUAUGGUCUUAACCACACAAUAAAGAAAUAAGUACUGAUGAAGUAAUUCGUGUAGUUCAUGUUGUUUCAGUUUCCAAAUCUUGGGAAGAUGAAAUGAUAAUAUUGUACUUCUGUUUGGUAUGGGAUAUUGUUUUGAAAUUUGUACCAUCCUUUUUCUUUGACAGCACUAUUUGUAUAAGAACUCAAAUGUGACAUUUUCAACACAUUUUGAGCUGGAUUUACUGUUCCACCAGUGUGAAACCUUGGUAUGUCAUGAUUAACUUCCAAACCCUGCAAAACCCAAACUUCUGCAAGUCAUUGCCCUGUAAUUUUGCAUUGGAUACAGUGCACAUUUGAACUUUUAAUAGCAAACAUUAAUUAUUGACACUUUUCCUUCUUCAACAAGAUACACCAUUUCCAAAACUAUUGAGAAAAAUUUGAUCUACUAAUCCAUUCAAGAGAUUGUUUUUUGAACCAUUAUUAAUGAAGAUGGAAACUGGUGAGUUUCACGUAUGCCAGUGGACAUUUAAAGUGCUUUGGAAAUAAGGCUUACAGAAAGUUAAUUUGUCAACAGUA
rnacentral:misc_RNA from 1 species